rnacentral:pre_miRNA from 1 species
AUGAGGAACAACCACAGUGGUGGCGGCCAGCUCUGGAGCCCUGGAUUCAGCUCCCGCAGGUACUCCGGAGGUCUCCGUCUGCAGGGCCUGGAGGCUCCGGGGCGGG